CAGAGAAUAGUUUAAAGAGAAUUUCAGCUUUGGGUGCUGAUGGUGGGGUGUGGACCUCUUCUCUGA
rnacentral:tRNA from 3 species